rnacentral:rRNA from 1 species
UACGGAGGAUGCAAGCGUUAUCCGGAAUGAUUGGGCGUAAAGCGUCCGCAGGUGGCAAUGUAAGUCUGCUGUUAAAGAGUCUAGCUCAACUAGAUAAAAGCAGUGGAAACUACAUAGCUAGAGUACGUUCGGGGCAGAGGGAAUUCCUGGUGUAGCGGUGAAAUGCGUAGAGAUCAGAAGAACACCGGUGGCGAAGGCGCUCUGCUAGGCCGUAACUGACACUGAGGACGAAAGCUAGGGAGCGAAUGG